UUGGAGGGCAAGUCUGGUGCCAGUAGCCGCGGUAAUUCCAGCUCCAAUAGCGUAUAUUAAAGUUGUUGCAGUUAAAAAGCUCGUAGUUGAAUUUCGAGAUCAAAUCGUUGGUCGUGCCUUGGUACGUACUGACAUUAUUGAUUUCUCCCUUCUGAAGAACCAUGAUGCCAUUAAUUUGGUGUCAUGGGGAACCAGGACUGUUACUUUGAAAAAAUUAGAGUGUUUAAAGCAGGCUCGCGCUUGAAUACAUUAGCAUGGAAUAAUGAAAUAGGACGUUUAAUUCUAUUUUGUUGGUUUCUAGGAUUGACGUAAUGAUUAAUAGGGAUAGUUGGGGGCAUUAGUAUUCAAUUGUCAGAGGUGAAAUUCUUGGAUUUAUUGAAGACUAACUACUGCGAAAGCAUUUGCCAAGGAUGUUUUCAUUAAUCAAGAACGAAAGUUAGGGGAUCGAAGACGAUCAGAUACCGUCGUAGUCUUAACCAUAAACUAUGCCGACUAGGGAUCGGAUGAUGUUAAUUUUUUAAUGACUCAUUCGGCGCCUUACGGGAAAC
rnacentral:rRNA from 1 species